ensembl:lncRNA
GACCAAUAGAAAAUCAACAGCUAUUUUACCCUAUGUAAUCUCUGAAGCAGGACCACGCUAUUUGGGUACCAUGGCAACUCUCCUGAGAAAACUGUUUCCACAGAUUUGGAACCCAUGGAUACAGAGAGUUGACUGAAUUUAAGAGAACCACAAGAGCUAUAAACAGCAACUUUCUUCUUCUUAGAAGAAAUAUUCUGAAGAAACUAGAACAUGAAACAGACCCAGAAGUGAACCUGACCAAGAAGUUGCCAUCCCUCCAUCGUUCUCACAGCUCCUUUCUCUCUGUGAUUCGAAAUGAGUCUAGCAACUCCUCCAUCCUACAGUGCCCCAGCUCCCAAGUGAACUUUUAGCAGCAGCAAGAGUGACGGCAGCAGCAAGAGUGACAGCAGCAGCAGGAACUCAUAGGAACCCAGAACACUGAAAGAGGCAGAUCUCUGAUCAGAGUCACUGUGGUCCCAGGAGGAUGAGGUGAAACCAUCCUGCCUUUCUCUUUUUUCUGACAAAUGCUUACCCCCGUCACCUCCACCCUCCCCCAAGGUAAAGGCAUUUGACAUGGAUAAGUUCUGAGUUAGUCAAACACAACAGCCUUGCAAAUGGUCUUCCAGGGACUCACAAGAGAGAUCAAAUAAUAAUUCUCUGGAAUCAAGGCUUUGAACAAGCUGGAGUUGAGUUCUGCCCCCCUGCACUGCUUCCAGGCUGCUAGUUUUCACCAUAGCUGUUGGCAAUUCGUUUUUGAGGCUCCUGUUAAAACUGAAAGCAAGAGAUGGAACUUGAGGUACUGAAAGCACGACCGAUGCUCACUGGUUUUCUCCUGCUGCCAUCACUUUUCUUGAUUAAAUACUCUCUAGAUUGUUGCAAGACUUUAGUUAACUUCUAAAGUUCUGAUAAAAUCAAC